rnacentral:rRNA from 1 species
GCUGACCUCUUUCCUCGUGCCUAAUACAUGCAAGUCGAGCGAACAGACGAGGAGCUUGCUCCUCUGACGUUAGCGGCGGACGGGUGAGUAACACGUGGAUAACCUACCUAUAAGACUGGGAUAACUUCGGGAAACCGGAGCUAAUACCGGAUAAUAUAUUGAACCGCAUGGUUCAAUAGUGAAAGACGGUUUUGCUGUCACUUAUAGAUGGAUCCGCGCCGCAUUAGCUAGUUGGUAAGGUAACGGCUUACCAAGGCAACGAUGCGUAGCCGACCUGAGAGGGUGAUCGGCCACACUGGAACUGAGACACGGUCCAGACUCCUACGGGAGGCAGCAGUAGGGAAUCUUCCGCAAUGGGCGAAAGCCUGACGGAGCAACGCCGCGUGAGUGAUGAAGGUCUUCGGAUCGUAAAACUCUGUUAUUAGGGAAGAACAAAUGUGUAAGUAACUAUGCACGUCUUGACGGUACCUAAUCAGAAAGCCACGGCUAACUACGUG